GAGUUCUUUUGUUCUCUAUGUGGUUUUGUACCUGGGUAGGGAACUAUGUCAUUAAGGAUUCUUUUGUUUGAAAAUGAUAGAAACUCCAUUUUAAAAUAGCUAAGGAAAAUAAUGGGGUUUGCUGUUUCACAGAAUUGAAAAAAAUCACAGGUAAAGCCAGAUUUCAUUGUGAUAAAGCCAGGAGCUUAGAUCAGGUCUCAGUCUUUUAUGUCUUGGCUGCCUCCACUUCUGUGGGCUUCAUUAGCCAGUCAGACUUUCCUUUUAUGUUUUCAUGAUGAGUCUUUGCACCUCUGCACCUAUGCCACCUCUGUAAGCUACACCUGUGCUGCCAGCCGAGCUUCUGUGUCCAAAGAUCUCAAUACAAGAACCACCUGAAUUCUCAUUUGUCUAGUCUGAGUCACUUGCCCUUCCUUAACCAAGCCAUCAUGGCCAGCAGGAAAACACUGGCUCAGGAGGGCAGGUGGCGUCAGCCCCUUUCAAAACUGACUGGACUAAGGCCAGAGGAGGGGUGGCUAUAGUGAAGUAGCGCAGUGGAACGAAGCUGCUUGAUGACACAAUUCAGUUGUUGUUCCACGUGGGGCUCAGGUGCUGACACUGAAUUCCCAUGCUUGUGGUGUGUCUCUUGGUGACCUCUCCCAAGUUCCAAGGAGUAAGCAAUGUCUCCUUUAGAUCUCAUCCUUAUCUUUCUUAGCUGUCAUCGAACUUGUCCAGCAACCAGGAUGGAUGGAGCAUGCCUUCCCUUCACAGCAUCUGGUUCUUACAGGCAACUCAAGAAGAACUUGUUGAAAGCAUAAUGGAUGAGAACAUUGGUGACUAAGGGCUCUGAUUACAUGUCAAGUUGGCACAGCUUGCAAUCCAUUCUUCCUCAAUGAAAUAGCAAGUGCCCAUAGAUCAUUCACCAACCCCAGCAAUUUGUUCCCUAAAGAAAUGC
rnacentral:lncRNA from 1 species